rnacentral:rRNA from 1 species
CCUACGGGAGGCAGCAGUAGGGAAUAUUGCUCAAUGGGGGAAACCCUGACGCAGCAACGCCGCGUGGAGGAUGAAGGUUUUCGGAUUGUAAACCCCUUUUGUUAGAGACGAUAAUGACGGUAUCUAACGAAUAAGCACCGGCUAACUCCGUGCCAGCAGCCGCGGUAAUACGGAGGGUGCAAGCGUUACUCGGAAUCACUGGGCGUAAAGAGCGCGUAGGCGGGAUAGUAAGUCAGAUGUGAAAUCCUAGGGCUUAACCAUAGAACUGCAUUUGAAACUGUUAUUCUAGAGUAUGGGAGAGGUAGGUGGAAUACUUGGUGUAGGGGUAAAAUCCGUAGAGAUCAAGAGGAAUACUGAUUGCGAAGGCGACCUGCUAGAACAUAACUGACGCUGAGGCGCGAAAGCGUGGGGAGCAAACAGGAUUAGAUACCCGAGUAGUC